AAGAAAGAUAGGUCUGUCAGCGUAAUGGGAUAAAGCACCUAGUGUUUAUAAAAAUAAGAGUAUAGCACUUUGUGAACUUUGAGAAAUGUGAACGAACAUUGAUUGGUAAAAUGUCUAUUUUAUAACUGCAUUUAAAUCAUCUUGAAAGUUUGAAGAACAUGCACCACUUUAUUUAAGGAUGCCUUAAAUACAGAAUUUGCCAAGUAGUGAAAGCUGGAGAUGAAAUGUGGAGAGUCUUAUGGGUAUUUUGACCAACAAUGAAUCCAAUACUGAAAUGGAAGAGGCCAUAUUUGUCACCGAGUCUUAGACCCAAAGAUAUGGAUUUUGGCAUCUUCUUCAAACUAGCUGUAGAAAUGGAGCUGCAUAUAGGUAAGCAGAAACGCUGCAGUUUCUUAAGAAGUUUUUGACAAUAACUUCAGGUAAAAAUGAGAACUUUUCCUACACUGUAAACUGUCCACUACUGGGUGGGGGAUUUGUGAAAAUGUAUCAUUCUACUAAGUGGAGAGAUUCCUUACAUUAUUCAUUCAAGGUAUUUUUCCUAUUUUUCCUGUGGAGGAGACAGAG
rnacentral:lncRNA from 1 species